AGCGAACGCUGGCGGCAGGCCUAACACAUGCAAGUCGAACGAACCGUUCGUGGUUGGUGGCGGUUGGGUGAGUGACACGUGGGAACGUGCCUUUAGGUUCGGUAUUUCUCAUGGAAACUUGUGCUAAUAUCGAAUGUGCCCUUCGGGGGAAAGAUUUAUCGCCUUUUGUGCGGCCUGCGCUUGAUUAGCUAGUUGGUUGAGGUAAUGCCUCACCACGGCGACGUUCAGUAGCUGGUCUGUGAGGAUGAUCAGCCACACUGGGAACGCGACACGGACCAAAAUCCUAGGGGCGGGAGCUGAGGGUAGUCUAGCGCUACGGGCGAGAGCGUGACGCAGCCGCGCCGCGUGAGUGAUGAGGGUGUUAGGAUAGUGAAUUUGUUUCAGCGGCAACGAUAAUGACGGUACCCGGAGAAGAAGCCCCGGCUAACUUCGUG
rnacentral:rRNA from 1 species